rnacentral:rRNA from 1 species
GGGGUAAUGGCCUACCAAGGCGACGACGGGUAGCCGACCUGAGAGGGUGACCGGCCCACUGGGACUGAGACACGGCCCAGACUCCUACGGGAGGCAGCAGUGGGGAAUAUUGCACAAUGGGCGGAAGCCUGAUGCAGCGACGCCGCGUGAGGGAUGAAGGCCUUCGGGUUGUAAACCUCUUUCAGCAGGGACGAAGCGUGAGUGACGGUACCUGCAGAAGAAGCACCGGCUAACUACGUGCCAGCAGCCGCGGUAAUACGUAGGGUGCGAGCGUUGUCCGGAAUUACUGGGCGUAAAGAGUUCGUAGGCGGUCUGUCGCGUCGUCUGUGAAAUCCUAGGGCUUAACCCUGGACGUGCAGGCGAUACGGGCUGACUUGAGUGCUGUAGGGGAGACUGGAAUUCCUGGUGUAGCGGUGGAAUGCGCAGAUAUCAGGAGGAACACCGAUGGCGAAGGCAGGUCUCUGGGCAGUCACUGACGCUGAGGAGCGAGAGCAUGGGUAGCGAACAGGAUUAGAUACCCUGGUAGUCCAUGCUGUAAACGGUGGGCGCUA